GUCUACUGACUAGUUAAGAUCCAGUUUCUUUCCCUUCCCUCUCUCCCAGCUAUUAAAAGAAUGCAAGCUCCUUGAUGGCACGAAAUGUUGUGAACCUUUCUUUGGAAUUUCUUAGUGCUUAGCUCAAUAACUAGUACUUAAGUAUUUUCUAAAUGCCUUUACUUUUCUGAGAAUUAGUUUUGUCAGUAGAAACAACUUCAUAACUUGAAGAACUUUACCAUUAGCACUCCUAGAACUUGGUAGAAUGAGCAAGAAGUGACAUUAAUAUUGCCUUGAAAUUAAUAUUUCCUUAAAGGAGUUUGGAAGACUAUAACAAGCAUGAC
rnacentral:lncRNA from 1 species